rnacentral:rRNA from 1 species
UACGUAGGGGGCAAGCGUUGUCCGGAUUUAUUGGGCGUAAAGAGCGUGUAGGCGGCCAUACAGGUCUGUUGUGAAAACUCGAGGCUUAACCUCGAGACGUCGAUGGAAACCGUAUGGCUAGAGUCCGGAAGAGGAGAGUGGAAUUCCUGGUGUAGCGGUGAAAUGCGCAGAUAUCAGGAAGAACACCCGUGGCGAAGGCGGCUCUCUGGGACGGUACUGACGCUGAGACGCGAAAGCGUGGGGAGCGAACAGG